UGAUUUUUUAUCUUAAGUCAGACUAUAUAAGGAAAAUAACAUGUAAAUAACUUCCUGUAUUCUAAAUAGAGAAUAGAACCACAACUUCUUAGCAUCUUCGUCUACUAGAGCUUACAGAAACUAAGAAAUGUAUAAAAUUAUUAUAUUGGCGUUGAUCUUGAACGUGGCGAUGGCGUUUCCUCAUCCUGCUUGUAACUUCGUAUGCACUCCUGGGAUUAUGGAAUCAUGUCCUGUUCUGAAUUGCGGACCAAACGAAUCACCGCAGCGUAAUCCGUGCGUCUGCUGCAAAGAAUGCAUGCCCAAUGAAACUACAUCAUAGUCCUGAUAAUUAUAUCAAAAUAUAUGUGUAAAUGAAGAAAAAUUUAAUAAAGUAUUCAUUUUCUUGCUUGUGAA